rnacentral:sRNA from 1 species
GAUAUUAGACUUAUAUCUUACAGGUAUAAGUUUCAGUCCCAUACUGUCUUUUAAUUGACCGGAAUAAUAAUGAUUAAUUUCACGUGGAAUCGAAUUCUUACACGGUAUUGACAGACUUUUAAAGUCAGACUUGUUUUCUACCGUUUACUUUUCCUCUACAUAU